rnacentral:rRNA from 1 species
AUGUCGACGACACGCCCGGCCGCUACGACCGAGGAGGAGGAGAUGGUCAUGGCCGCCUCUGGAGCGGUCAAUGCCGCGCCACCGGACGCAGACGAUCGGGAGCAGCAGAAGAAGGCGCAUGCGAGGAACAAGAAGAAGCGGCGGAGGGUGUUGAGCGAGGAGGAGCUGGCUGUGCAAAGGUCCGUGCUCUGCUAGGCCCGCCGCGGCGAGGCGGGCGACGAGGAGGAGGCGGACUGCGGGCACCUGUUGCCGGCUGGGAGGCGGCGGCGGCGCGUGGCGGUGGAGCUGCAUGCGCACUCGGCGAGCGACGGCUCGCUCUUGCCCGCGGCACUCGUGGAGCACGCGCACCGCAAUGGAGUGAAGGUGCUCGCACUAACUGAUCAUGACACCAUCGCCGGUGUCCCGGAGGCGAUGGAGUCUGCAAAGGAAUUUUCCAUCAGGAUCGUCCCAGGUGUUGAGAUAAGUGCCCUUUAUUCGCAUGAACCUGUUCAUAUUCUCGCAUACUACUGUUGGGGCCCUGGGAAAUCUCAGGAACUAGAGAAGGUUCUAUCUACCAUCAGGGAGGGCCGCUAUACACGUGCCAAGGAGAUGCUAUCGAAACUUAGGAACCUCGGCAUGCCAUUGAACUUUGAAGAUGUGUCUAAUAUAGCAGGGAAUGGAGUGGCUCCAGGGCGGGUGCACGUGGCGCGUGCCAUGGUUGCAGCUGGAUAUGUUGAUAAUUUUUUGCAAGCUUUCAGCAGGUACUUUUACGAUGGAGGGCCUGCUUAUGCUAUUGGCAGUGAGCCAGUUGGGUCCGUUGUGCAGCUAAUAUGUAGAACUGGAGGCAUAGCUAUUUUGGCUCAUCCAUGGGCAUUGAAAAAUCAUGUUGUUGUGAUAAAGGAUUUGAAAGCUGAUGGUCUGCAUGCUAUUGAGGUCUAUCGAAGCGAUGGGAAACUAUCUGGUUUGAGUGAUCUGGCUGAUACUUAUGAGCUUCUAAAGCUUGGUGGAUCAGAUUACAUUGGACGAGAUGACAAGGAAGAAGCUGAUAUAGGAAUUGUUGAUCUUCCGGUCUUGGCGUUUUUUAGAUUUCUUGAGGUAGCUCAACCAAUUUGGUGCAAUGCUAUCAAGGAAAUAUUUGCAAACGCCACUGAAAGAUCAUAAGUAUAUAUGGCCCAAAAGGAUGUCAUCGGACUAUCUCUAGAUGAUUUAUGUAAUAUGUGUCUUUCUUAUCCAGAACUGGAGGAAACAGAUGAUUCUGAGAUUGAGGUCCUCCGGGCGAAACUUGCAGACAGACAGCAAUUCUGUUCAUAA